CACCUCCAGCAGCCUCUUCAAGAUCUACCUGCGCCACACAUCCUGUCCGUCGACCUCGCCCUCACGCCGUUGUCGAGCUCGACACCGACGUCUUGCUCGCCGCCGUUGACCGCGCCGAUGAUGUGAGGUCCAUCUCCAGCGCGGCCACGGUGUCCCCGUGCGGAGGACAACGUUGCUGCUCAAGAUCUGACAGGGCAUCCAUGGAGGCUGAGGCAACGACAACGCUGGCCACUCGCACCCCUGCUCCACAACAUCGAAGAAGGGUGCCUUGAAGGUGUUUGUGAUAAUGUCAAGCCAAGGACGUGAGCGUGCUUUUUCCAACUUGGAGCAUUCCAACAAAGUGAAAUCUCUUCUCUCCCAAGUAUUCUCAUUUCCUAAUUAUAUAUUAGACUCUGGUUUGACGAGAACAUACAUGGCUGUAAUUACAAACUUGCUUCGUUAAUGGGUCCUCUUAACUGGGUGUACAGUCUGAUAAGUAGCUCUCCUCAUCUCGGUCCAGCUAACUUUUGGAUAAGUGCCUCACCAUCCAUCGCAAGUAACUGAAUAUCAGUGGUCAUGUAGUGUUUCCUCAUUUUAUUUAACUAAUUAAGAAAUAUCAUGGUGUUAUUGUUUAUUAUCUUAUAACAAUCAAAACAUUAUUCUAUUCUAUCAUCUAGGAUGUGAAUCUAACACCAUGUAGAAUUGAUCUGCGCACAUUUUGUACUUUCUGCUUAGUUAAUAGUGAUUGUGACUAAACGGAUUUUUCUCACAGCAAAGGCUAAGUUCUGCACUGCUUACCCCAUUCACUAAUUCAUUCUAUGCUAACCAAAAGAUUUAAUUCUUACCUCCUUCACUGUUUUUGCAGUAAUUAGAACUGGGUCUGUUUGCUCUAAUGUAUUUGGACUUGAAUUGGCUUAAUUUCUCUGUAAUACAUUGGCAGCUCUCUGAAAUUAUAUCAGUGGUUUCUAACUGUUUCAAAUUGUGGUUUCUAGCUUCUAUCAUCGCAAUGCAGACUAAAAGCAGUUGAUGUGCAGUGUGAAGUUUCUUCUUGUUUAAUUGUAAAUAUGUUUAAUUGUGGACUCAUCACAUGGUUUACAUGCUUGACUGUAACACAGGCGAGCGAAAGAGAGUUGCAACUCAGAUUUCGAAGUCAAAUUGUUUCGAUUGUUCAUUCCUGGCAGUGCUAAUAGUUCGGUACAUGGGAAUGGUGAAGUCUGAUGUGAAGUAUAGGUCAUACUUUUGUCUAUUAGGCUAGUGCAAACAAUUUGUUGUGUACCUUCUGUUAUUUUAGCUUGUACAUCUGUAAAAUUGUGCACAAUGUUUGGUGUAAUGGGCUGUGACAAGUGAUUUGGCCCAAAAACAAGCUUUGUAUGUAUUAUGAAAUUGGAUUGGAAUUCUAUUGGCUAUUGAAUGGGCUUGAA